rnacentral:rRNA from 1 species
GACGAACGCUGGCGGCGUGCCUAAUACAUGCAAGUCGAACGCUUUUUCUUUCACCGGAGCUUGCUCCAUCGAAAGAAAAAGAGUGGCGAACGGGUGAGUAACACGUGGGUAACCUGCCCAUCAGAAGGGGAUAACACUUGGAAACAGGUGCUAAUACCGUAUAACACUAUUUUCCGCAUGGAAGAAAGUUGAAAGGCGCUUUUGCGUCACUAAUGGAUGGACCCGCGGUGCAUUAGCUAGUUGGUGAGGUAACGGCUCACAAAGGCAACGAUGCAUAGCCGACCUGAGAGGGUGAUCGGCCACACUGGGACUGAGACACGGCCCAGACUCCUACGGGAGGCAGCAGUAGGGAAUCUUCGGCAAUGGACGAAAGUCUGACCGAGCAACGCCGCGUGAGUGAAGAGGGUUUUCGGAUCGUAAAACUCUGUUGUUAGAGAAGAACAAGGAUGAGAGUAAAAUGUUCAUCCCUUGACGGUAUCUAACCAGAAAGCCACGGCUAACUACGUGCCAGCCGCCGCGGUAA